CUAUUCUGUAUUUUUCAAAAUAUUUGAUACCCAAAUUCAACCAAUCCUUUUGUAUGGUGCCGAAGUAUGGGGUAUUAAUAAAUGUACAUUUAACUGCAUGUAAGAAGUUCUUAAAUGUUGGUCCCCAAACACCAAAUGUAAUUGUUUAUGGUGAAUGUGGACGUUACCCAAUGUAUAUAAAUGCACAACGGCGUUUCAUAAAAUACUGGCUUAAACUUGUAAAUAUGCAUCAACAAAGAAUUCCAAGAAAAAGCUUAUGAUAUGCUAAUGUAUUACGAUAAUUGUGGUUACGAGAACUAUGUUUCAUAUGUGCGUAAUUUAUUGUUUUCAAAUUGAUUUGGUAAUGUUUGGUUAUUUCAAGGUGUUGGUAAUGAAUCUCAGUUUCUUCAAAUGUUUCAACAAGUUGCAGUUGACAUGUAUAUACAGUCAUGGAAUAUUUUUUGUUUAUGAGUUUUCAUUAACCUAAUGGAGUUACUUCCUUCCUAACAUUGUUUUUCCAACAUAAACAAUAUAAAAUACAGUUAUUGUCAUUAUCCAUAAACUCUUCUCUUUGUGUUUGGAUUAGUACAUUUGGACCAGUCCAUUAAUUAACGAAGGUAAUAGUGUAGAGAACCUUAGUGCAACCAACCAUAACCGUUAGGAAACGUCCUGGCCUUGAAAAAAUAAACGGUCCAAUCACACUGAAUUGAUACUCUCUUUCAUAGCGACUUUCACGGAGCAAUGAAAAACAACAAAUACUCAAAGAUAACACAAUAAGCCAUAGUUUAUUUGUGCAUAAAAUAUGUCUAAAACGUGAAUCAUUAGGAAAUAUAGUGAAGUUCACAAACGAAGUCCUGUUAUAAAUGUUCACACAGUAGUACAUAUAUAAAGAAAUCCACAAUGUGUGUGUGUGUGUGUGUGUGUGUGUGUAGUACUGUACAUGUAUGUAUAGUCUUUGUUUUCCUUAACGAGAUGCUGUACACAAGGGAAGUAGUCAAGAAACGGUAAUGCAUACAAUAUACUCGGUUUGCAAAACAGUACAAUAUCAGCUCACACUGUGA